AGAGAAAGAAACCCUACAGGCAGAAUUGGAUGCCCUAAAAACAGAACUUCCCUCAGUGAGGGAACAACUAGAUUCUGCUGAAAAAGAAAUAGCUCAGCUAAGUCAAACACAAAAGGCCACAGAGGAGGACAAUUCUUCACUGUUGUCAAGGAUUUUACAACUCACGGAGGAGAUAGGACAAGCUCAACAAAAGAUCCAAGACCUUGUGACUGAAGCUGACCAGCCGUCAAGGAUUUUACAGCUCGCGGAGGAGAUAGGACAAGCUCAACAAAAGAGCCAAGACCUUGCGACUGAAGCUGACCAGCUAAAGGGGAUGCUAGAUGAGAAAGAAAAAGAGCUCUCUACUCACAAGGAGAUACACGAGGCUCACAAAAAUGAAUCAUCAACUCGAUUAAGAGGUAUG
rnacentral:lncRNA from 1 species